CACGUAGGGACCAAGCGUUGUCCGGAUUUAUUGGGCGUAAAGAGCUCGUAGGCGGUUCGGUAAGUCGGGUGUGAAAGCUCCAGGCUCAACUUGGAGAGGCCACCCGAUACUGUCGUGACUUGAGUCCGGUAGGGGAGUGGGGAAUUCCUGGUGUAGCGGUGAAAUGCGCAGAUAUCAGGAGGAACACCGGUGGCGAAGGCGCCACUCUGGGCCGGUACUGACGCUGAGGAGCGAAAGCGUGGGUAGCAAACAGGAUUAGAAACCCCAGUAGUCC
rnacentral:rRNA from 1 species